rnacentral:misc_RNA from 1 species
CGAGGUCGUGAAACUUUCAUAACUGUCGCACAUCGGUGAACUAAAAAAUGUCAAUCAUCUGUCACAGAAGAUCAAGUGAUUAAUCGACAUAAGUAUCUACUGCAGAAGGACAACAUCAUCGUUGACGAUUGCAAAAUGAAAAUAUAGAUUAACUCUGAAAAACAUUGAACGUACUCUGUUGUAUCAGAUAUUCAACCAGAAUUUAAUUCUUUAUGCAAAAAUAAACAAGCACAUCUGUUUCACCGAUAUGCAAAUUUAAUUCUGCUCUAAUAGCUGAUAAUAAAUGACACAAUUAUAAAUGGUGGACAAUAUAUAACUGACCAAUUUCAAAGUCCCGUCAUUCCGAAACGAUGCAUCAUCUCCUGUUCCGCUAUAACAAUCGUAUCAUGGACGUAUGAAAAAAUAAUCAUCGAGCGUUACACAGUUCGAGAGCGGGAAAAAAUUGUCAAAACACUUUAUCGAAAUAAUUCAUCGAUAAUGAUGAUCACACGCAAAUUACUCUGCCGGUAUCUUCCGGUCAUCAAAGAUCGCCUGAUUCUAUUACAGCGGGUUUCUUGUUACGAGGUUAUCUCAAAAGUAAAACGCAUGUCGAUAAACGAAAGCCAAUCGAGCAGCUAAAAGAUGCUAUUCGAGAAACGACAGUGAACAUAACUUUCGAAACGUGCGAAGAUGUAACGAAAAAUACUACUGACAGGGCUGACUUUGUACAGCGUCCGAAGGCAAACAUCUUUCUUAUAUCGUGAUGUUAUACAUGAUUUUCAGAUAUUAAUAAAUGACUCGUAUUAAAAAAAA